AUGUUAUCUGCAUAUACAUGUCAGAAAGACUGAAGACCAGUGUGAACACAGGCUUGUGGUAGACAGUUUCUAACGUUAGCUUUUGUGACUGCUACUGCACGUUGAGUGGAUGUUUUCAGGGAACUUGCCCAUGAUAUCCAGGAUCUUUCUUGAGUGAUCAUUUAUGAAUAUGUUGAACAGUACAGAUCCUUACUGAUCCAUAAGGACCUUCCCUCUAUCCCAGGACUACUUGUUUUUGCUUAAGAGCCUUUGAGGUGGGACCUCAGUGAAGGCCUUCUGAAAGUCGAAGUACACUAGAUUACCCUUGUCCACAUGCUUGAUACCCUUAAAGAAUUCUAAUGGGUCAAAGAAAUGAGUCACCCUCUCAUCCUACAGUGACUUAGGACAGAGUUAAAAACAUAUUGGCGAGGCAAAGAAAUGUACACGAUGUAUCAACCCCGCACUGGGCCAACAGGGACUGACCAAGCAUUAUGGGCCCAGGAGACCAGGCCCCCUCACCUCUGCUGCGCAUGGCCCAGGUGGAGGGGACAGAUAAAAGGAGGCAGCUCAGCUCAAUCGGUGUUGGUGAAAGAAGAGGAAGGAUGUGUGCUGCAGGCUCCUGCAGAGGAACCAUUGACUCUCCAUGGAUCUGGACUAUGCUGUGGAUGACCAGCUGACUGCAGAGACACCGAGCUGCUGCCAGCCGAGGAGAUGCCCAAGAUGGGCUUUAUGAUAAAUGUACCCUUCUUUAAGGAAGAGAAGUUUAACAAAAACAUGAAUUAUCUGAAUCUUCAGCAAAGAAAAAUACCCUAUUUAGAUGUUCAAGAACACAAAUUAUAGUUCAUAAAAGUUAUACACCCAUGCCAGUGGGGUGCUCAGAUGAUCAUUUCUCCCAGGAAUAUCAACAAGUGCAUAAAUUAAUUC